CCAUCGUCUCAUGCAAAGUGUUCAUUGAUCCUUCGUGUGGCCCAUCACUUCCGUCGCACAAUCUUCGGAUUGCUUAACUAUGUGAGUUGGUAACAAAUAUACAUUGAUAUAGUGAUAAAACUUUCCCAUCUUCUAAUCUCUUGAGUUGCUUAUUGUUUCCAUCAAAGUGUUCAUGGUGCGCUUGAGGAGUCAAAAAGGAUUAACCCCUUAGUACUUGAUCGUGGUGUUCCAC